UACGUAGGUGGCAAGCGUUGUCCGGAUUUAUUGGGUUUAAAGGGUGCGUAGGCGGAUCUUUAAGUCAGUGGUGAAAGCCUGCAGCUCAACUGUAGAACAGCCAUUGAAACUGAAGAUCUUGAAUAUGGUUAAAGUAGGCGGAAUGUAUCAUGUAGCGGUGAAAUGCGUAGAUAUGAUACAGAACACCGAUAGCGAAGGCAGCUUGCUGAACCAUUAUUGACGCUGAGGCACGAAAGCGUGGGGAGCAAACAGG
rnacentral:rRNA from 1 species